CUUGAAAAGAACAAAAACCUAAUUGGCGUUAACUGUGAGUUUAAAAAGCUUUCUCUGACUGUAUUUUGAUAUGUUUAUUAAGACCUUGUUGGCUACAUUUUUAAAGCUUUGUCAGAACUACACGGACAUUGAUUUUAAUUAGAAUCACCAUAAAUCAAAGUUAAACUGUGUUUAAAUAAGUUAAUCUAUUUUUAACUACUACCAAACUACUUCCUUCAGAUUUCAGUGACCAACAUGUGUAGAAAAAUGUUUGCUGUCUGAUUAAUGAGACUGCUGGCUGUGACUGUGUGAUAUUAUAACUGUUCUUUUUAAUUUACUUUUAUUCAACAUGGACCUGAACCUGUUUGUGGACCCACUGAGGACCUGUCUCCAGACCUUUGUAUCAGAGCAGGACUGAGACCAUCAGGCUCCAUCAGUGAGACUACAACCAGUGGAAGCCAAUUCCACCCCACAUCAGAUAAGUGCAGGUGAUGCAGCGAGCAGCAUUCAGCCCAUCCAUGGACCCAGGACAGAUGUCCUCUACAUCCACGCCUACAUCUGGCAGGCAGGUGGAUGAGGAGGUGAUGGAGUUCCUGACCAUCUGAAGAACUGAACCAGCAGCAGGAUGAGGAGACACUGGAACAAAAUCUGUCCAUCAGGGUUUUAAAGCCUUCAUGACAGCUGAAAAAUUCAGUUAAUGCAAAUGUACAGUUUUAAAAUGACCUGUUUAGAGCUGAGGAAGUCAAACACCAGGCCUUGGCAUAUUUUUUAAACUCA